ACAGAUAGGUAAUCAUAAACAAAACAUGGCAUGACAACUCAUUCAAAAUAUUCACGUUUUCACAUAAAAUCAUAUUUUGAAAGAAAAGCCCACCUCGUUUUCUUAAAUUCUCAAACGAACGUUCCUCGACUUGCUUUUACUUGUCUUGCGACGACGCCCCUUAUAAACAAAUGAUAUACUUAAAUUAGGUUUAAGUAACUAUUUAUUUAGCGUGUAUGCUUGCCUAAGCGUGUAAUCGUUUUUCAUUUCCUCUAUUCCUAAAACCAUAAGAUCUUUAAUUAUUAAGCAAUUUAAUUUAUUCGGGAAUUUGCCGAAUCAUUCGGGCAUUAGUUAAAUUCCGGAAUAUUUUUCUUUAAGUACCACAGAAUUAUAUCGCGACUAUUCCUCAUUUAAUUUGGUAUCGUUAGGAGGGUCUAUUAAUUUGAUGUUUUACGUCGCGAUUCAUGCUAUGAUAUAAAGUACCAUAAGUUAUUUUUUUCCAAUUUAAAUCUUCUUGGAUUUAAGUACUUCAUUAAUUUAAAAUACUUAUCUUGUUCAAUAAAAGUCCAAUUUAAUCAUUUAUUGGAUAUUAGGUUAACGCGACUAACAUUUUCCUUUCUUCCGUGGUUUAAGGAAUUAAAUUUGGUUUAAGGAAUUAAAUUUCAUAGUCUCAAAUUUAUUUAGGGCCGAGGCUCAGAAAUUCUAUGGCCCAAAAUUACAUAAACCCCUAAAUCUUUGAUUUCUUCCUUUAAACUUUUCUGGCCCAGAAAUUUAACUUAGCCCAAUUAGCCAUUAAAUUAGGGAGGCCCAAUUCAAAUAAAAGGAGAAACGAAAAAGCCCAAACAACUUAUACUCCCUCCCCUACCCGUCGGUUUCUGUCUCUUCUCCUCUCCCUUCUUCAUUUCAUUUUUUUUCAAUUCAAAUGGAGAACCCUAGCCGAUCGGCACCGCCAUCGUCGUUCCCUUCUCAAUCUCUCUCUGUUUCUUUCACCCUCCUCUCUUUCUUUCUUCCCAAAAAUUUAUGUGAAUCCCAAAUUAAAGGAGGAGAAACCCUAGCUUGGAUUAAAUCCGAACUUUCCCCCUCUUCUUUGCCCGUCGACAGUAUUUCGUACAGCGCCGACGCCUCGGCGGAAUCCACCUCCCGUUGGCUGACUCCCUGGUCUCACUCUGAGACCUUUGCCGUCCAGUCCGCCACCAUGAGGUCCUCCGCUCCUCUGUGUGGUCGGCUCUCAGCCGUGCGUCGUUGGCCGUCCCGUCAACAGAUUAGAUAGGAAGAGAAAAGCUGACGGAUUUUCGAAGUGUGGCUGUCGUCGUUGGCGACGGAGUGUUGAGUCAGUCGACGAAAGUCCCUAUGGCCGAUUUCUAUGUUAUGUUAAGCUAAGUCUCCUAUCUUAGCCUAUUUGGUUGACUUCUUUAUGGUAGAGUCUAUUCUUGUUUCAUAGUUUUAGAGUUGGAUACGUUGUAGUUGUUCCUCAAAUGAAACGGCAGUAGCUUGGCUAAAGGUUGUGACCAUAUAUGGAUUACUUUGAUUGGGUGUUCAUAAGUGUGUAUGAUUAGGGAAACUUAGGUAUUUAAGUUGAUAUGGCUACUGCUGUCUAUUUGUUUACUCAACAAGAGGUCAUUUGUAGUAGGGUUCAAGUGGUUUCUAUGCAUACACUUUAUGUUGUGAUAA